rnacentral:rRNA from 1 species
UGCGUAGGGGGCAAGCGUUAUCCGGAUUUACUGGGUGUAAAGGGAGCGCAGACGGCAGUGCAAGUCUGGAGUGAAAGCCCGGGGCCCAACCCCGGGACUGCUCUGGAAACUGUACGGCUAGAGUACGGGAGGGGCAGGCGGAAUUCCUAGUGUAGCGGUGAAAUGCGUAGAUAUUAGGAGGAACACCGGCGGCGAAGGCGGCCUGCUGGACCGAAACUGACGUUGAGGCUCGAAAGCGUGGGGAGCAAACAGG